UUUAUAAAUAUGAACGUUUCCAUUGAGGCCCCCACAAGCUAAAUUUCUUUUUUCUGGCUGCCAUGCUAUUUUGUUUAAUGGUUUACCGUCUGGGAUAUCACUAGUUACCGGAGCCUCUACGUCUUUUUGCAAAUCCCAUAGGUUUAAAUUUCCUAGUGCAUCAACGCUUGCGAAGCAACAAGGUUCCGAUACACACCAUUUAACAUCAAAGACCAUUGCCUUAUGAGUAAAUGUUUUGCAACUGUUUAUGAUAACCUGUUCAUCUAAAUCAUUUGAUGGGACUAAUUCGUGCUGGUUUCUACUAGGAGAGCAUUGCCAGAGACGCACGGUCCAAUCAAAACUACUAGUUAGAGCAAAGUCUUUAUUUUUUUCAAGAAAUACGUUUUGACUGUUUGAUGUCAUUACAUCUAUUCCAGAAAUAAAGACAUUGUGACCCUCGUAACUAACAUUUGAAGGUUGUACAGCCUUCGUCUCAGAGUAAUCAGAUCUAUAGCCCCUUUGUAAUUUUCCAUCUUCAGCUCCCACUAAAAACUCCAUGUUAUUUUCAGGGAUAAAAGAUAGACAUGUAGCUGGGAUACAUUGAGAGCUAGAGUCGACUUGAGAAGAUAAGCAUAUUGUUUCACUCGGUCUUGAAAACAUGUCAGGUUCCCAUAUAUGAACAAGACCAUCAGUACUACAUGUAACGAUAUUAUUCGAUGGAGGAUUAUUGAUAUACGUGAUAUCUGUCACCGGUUCCAAAUGGCCUCCACUAAUAAUGGUAGUAAAUGAAACUGGGUAUUGCCCUUGCCUGAGAUCCCACAGAAAAACUUGCCCAUUGUAGGCACCCCCUGCAAUAAGUUGAGGAUGAAACGGCGAAGGCUUACAAACAGUAAUUUCACUCUUUAAUGGUUAGUAGAUCAUACAAAAAACUGAUCGUACCCUUGCUUUUAGAACACUCUCAGGUGAAUUCUUCCAUCUCUGGUUCCAGACAAUUGCAAGUCCUCGAGUUCUUAAUGCUUCUUUUGGCUUAGCGUAAGACGUAAUGAGAAGCUCUUCAAAGAAUGAAGAAUAGCUGAUGCUAU